GUAUGACGUCGUACUCACGUCUUGCGUCAACUCAAAAUCGAAGUAGAUUUCUCCAGGCGUACACUCUUUAUUUUCUGCAUUGCAAUAAACGUUUUGUACAUAAAUUCUUUAACAUGGUCUGUUUAAAAUCGCGGGAGCUUGCUGCUUUAAAGGAAUAUCAUUAAGGGAUACCUCGUAUGGAAUCGAAAUCUACGCUUCUUUCAGCUAAGCUAACGUUAUUGCAUCUAUUAGCAAAACUUGCUAGCUAAGAAGCUAUCGCUAGCACUUAGCUAUCCCUACCCUAACGUCGAGCUAGCUGUGCGUUAGCACGUUAGCCUAGCUCGCUAACCAGUGACAACUGACAAAGAGCACGGAUGAUGUGAUCCUGAACAUGCCAAAGUGAAAAACAAAGCUUUUCCUGUUUGGGUCAUUACCAACUACGAUUGACAACUUUAAGCCUCACUUCAUCAGAUAUCUUCUCAAUAAUCCACACGGCAUCCCUGUCUGCAGUUCCUUCUGCACGUGAACCAUGUGAGGGCCCCUCGGUCCAGUCUGAGGGGAUCCCAGGACUGUUGCAAAUACGACCCCGCUGUGCGGGGUGAGACUGAUCCUGCCUGUGUCUGAAAGGGCAGUCUUUCCAGUAUCCCCCUCCCCAUACACACAUUCCUGUUCUCCUUACCGAGGAGACACGCCAUGAUGUUCCGAGAUCAAGUAGGUAUCCUCACAGAUUGGUUCAAGGGCUGGAAUGAGUGUGAACAGACGGUGGCACUGUUGUCCCUCCUGAAGAGGGUGUCCCGCACCCAGGCUCGCUUCUUACACAUCUGCCUUGAACACUGGCUGGCAGACUGCACAGAGAUCCAAAUCCUAGAAGCUGAGGCCAAUAAUGCAGCAAUUGUCAGCCAGUGGCAUCAGGAGCCAAAGGAAAAGGUUGUGUCCUUGCUGCUGUCCCAUCUGCCUCUGCUGCAGCCACGCAACAGCGAGGCCAAAUGUGAGUACAUGAAGCUGCUGCAGAAGGUGUUGAGUCACACUAUUGAGAGUAGCCUGUUUGUGGAAGAAAGCAGGCAGCUGCUGUCCUACGCGCUCAUCCACCCUGCCACCACACUUGACGACCGCACCUCUCUGGCCAUGUGGCUAAACCACCUGGAGGAGCACCUAUCCAGCGGCUACGCUCCCCGGGCCCCAUCUAGCCCCUACCACCCGCACCAGAGCUCAGAUGAAUGGCCCAGCUCGGCUGAGGCUCUGGAUCCCGGACACGCCUGGCACGACCAGUCCCCCUCAUCCAGCACGUCUUCAGCAGGCCAGAACGGACACAUGUCUUUCCCAGGUCUGGGUGGGCAGAUGCAGCCCAGCCCUCUGAAGAAGUCCAUGUCCGUUAUUCCUUCCAGUUCCCAGGCUUGUGGCUCUGAGUGGGUUUGCCAGGAUGACAUAGGUGGCCGGCAGAACUUCAUUCUAACAGACCACGCACCCCUUUCACCCCAAAGCAGCGUAGCCUCUUCUGGCAGUGAGCAGACAGAAGAACAAGGCUCCGCUCGCAACACCUUCCAAGAGGAUGGCAGUGGCAUGAAAGAUGUUCCAGCUUGGUUGAAGAGUCUCCGCCUUCAUAAAUAUGCAUCACUUUUCUCCCAAAUGACCUAUGAGGAGAUGAUGAUUCUCACAGAACACCACCUGGAGUCGCAGAACGUCACUAAAGGAGCACGGCAUAAGAUCGCCUUGAGUAUCCAGAAACUGCGAGAGAGGCAGAUUGUGCUCAAGUCUUUAGAAAAGGAUAUUUUGGAAGGGGGAAACCUGCGAAAUGCCCUCCAGGAGCUGCAACUGAUCAUCACCACACCCAUCAAGGCCUACAGCCCACCCAGUGCAGCACAGACUGCCCUGGACGCAGCAUUGGCCUUGGACACAGCCACCUCCCCUUCAGAAGCCACAAAAACAGGAGCAGACAAAGAGUCGGCCUCAGAGGGCUUCCAGUCCCACAAUCCACCUCCCUGUGAUGGAGACUCCUCAGCCACACCCAUCUCAGACGGCGACAUUGCUGGACAGUUCACCCGUGUCAUGGGUAAAGUGUGCACCCAGCUGCUGGUGUCGAGGCCAGAUGAGGAGAAUAUCAGCUGUUACCUUCAGCUCAUUGAGAAGUGUCUGACUCAUGAGGCUUUUACAGAAACUCACAAAAAAAGGCUGGUCUCCUGGAAGCAGCAGGUCCUCAAACUGCUUCGCCUGUUCCCUCGGAAAGCUAUGCUGGACAUGCCUGUGUACCGACAGAAAGGCUGGACCUAUGGGUCAAACUCCCUCCCCACAGCAGGCUCUGUGAGUGGAGUUGUAGGGCGGAGAGGACAAAGGCAGUUCCAGAUGACUCCUCGUGGACUCACAGCCGGACGCAUCGGUCUUCUGAGUCCCGGCGGGAUCGGGGGAGCAUCUCCUCGCCACACACUCACUAAUCCUGCGCUGGCAGGCCAGGGAAGACAAAACCUGUGGUUUGCCAACCCUGGGGGCAGUAACAGCAUGCCAAGUCAGAGUCGCAGCUCUGUGCAGCGGACACACUCACUCCCUGUCCACACGUCCCCACAAACCAUGCUCAUGUUCCAGCAGCAAGAUGAUCCAAUUUAAAGCUGGACACCACUCAUCACUGCACAUUCCUACAAAUGCCAAGUUCCAGGUGCUGACCUGGAGAUCAACCCCACGCUGGAGUCACUGUGCCUCAGUAUGACGGAGCAUGCCUUAGGGGAUGGAACAGACCGGACAUCAACAAUAUGAAAGGAAAAAUACACUUCAGUUGAGGCCUGUUCAGUUUCUCAUCACCCAGCACAAAGAUAUACGUAUGCUUAAGAAAACCAGGCAAAGCAGUCACUACAAAAUGACAAAAAAACUGUGUAUAUGUUCUCUAAUAUUUUUGUACUUUAUUAUAUACAACUAAGUUUAUUAAAAAUGGAAUACAGAUGAUUAUUAUAUUGCAGGACAGAAACAAACCGCAAACUGCUCCGUGUCACCUGCAGGACUGUGACAUGAAGUGCAGAGGCUCAGUUUGCCGUGGUCUGAGAGAAAAAUGGUGGAUUGGUGCUGUCUUAAAGGGGUUCUGCCCUACGAGUUACUCUUCUUUUCCUCCUGCCUUGGAGCAAGGCUUCUUUCUAGAACACACUGACAGCCACAGCCCCUGCACCACAUAAUGUGGAAAUUCAGAAAAUGUCCAGCUAGAAGUAAGGCACUUUUAUUAGAAGAUCUCUGAUAUUAGCCACUAAACUGUAAUUGGCCCAAGGAUACACUGAGGUUCCACUUGUAGACAGUUAUUGAUAUACAGAUAACAAUACGCUUCCUAACCACCCUAAUUGUUCUAUAACCAGUGCGGUGCUUGUGUGGAGGUGAGGGCUUGUGUUGGAUGAAACUCAGACCUCUUUCCUUGGUUCUUUUUAUCCUCCUUAGAGGACAUGUUUUUGUGGCAAAAGCAGGAAAUGGAAGGCCAAAAGGAUUGAGGUAAAGCUUGUAAUUCAACCAAAGGUGUACCCUUUGUCUUGGUUAAUUUCCCUGAACACAUAGUCAAAGCAGAAGUGACUGUCCUCCUCUAAACGUCUACAAAGCCAAAGAGAAGGGUUGUGCGAUUGUUAAUUUGAGAUGGAUAUUUGUAGUGAAAUGCAAAAGAAUGGUGUUUUUUUUUUUUUUUUUUUUUAAUAUAAAAAGAACAGCAGUCCGAAUAAUUUAUGCCAGCUGCAAUUUGUCUCAGUUAUUUUAUGCCCUAUUACGUAGAUGAUGAUGAUGAAUCCCAUUUUGUGCCGAGGAAUCACCAGAGGGGUGAAUAAGGGCUGGUGAGGUUUGUACUGUGCGAGAGCUGAUUUGAUAUUGAAUUGAUAAAAGCGAGGAGGGUAGAGUGUUUUCAAUUUACAUUUUAAUGCUGGGUGGGAAAACUAAAUGAAACCCAUCUCAACCCUCUGGCCACCUUUAUGAUUGGCUCUGGAAAAUGAAGCUUGAUCUUGUAAUAAAUACUCCGGAGUGGAGCGCAGCGCCUCACCCUCACAGUGCCCUCUUCCUCAAAUGGCCAACGUGACGAUUUGAUGAAUCAUACUUUUCAAGGUGCUUGACUAUGUCCAUAUUUUCUGUUUGUGUCUCAAUGUGUUUCAGUCUCAGAACCCUAACAUUAUCAUAUGGUGUCAGUGUUGAAUCAAAAACUUGUCUUAUACGGCCUCUGUCUUUGAAUGUGGCAGAGCGGAGGUGCAUGUAUGUGUAAUAUGGUCUUAACUUUUGGAUUGCAUCAUAAGGCAGGGAUAACCAUUCACAUUUUAUUUCAGCAGAGCCAUAGGAGGUCUGUCUAGUAAAGAUGGUUAUUUACAGAUAUCUUUUCCAAUUGUAUUUUUUACUCUCCCUUGAUAUUGAUAACUUAUGCUUAUUUUCUAUAAUCGCAUGUUUUGCCACACUAAUACAGCACUGUUGUAGAUAGAGGACAUGGUGGUUGAUGGUGCCCAGAGUCACCAACAGCUUCAGAGCAGAAAUCUUGCAACUAAUGUAUGUUUAUACCGCCUAAAUGUCACUGUUUACAUCUAUCUUGGAUAAUGCCCAAUUCAUGUUAUGUAAUGUCAUGAAUUCAUUGUCUCACUAUGUAACACAUUAAAGAACUGACGCCUUCUCGCACAUGAGAUGGCUGGGUAGAGCCUGAAAACAAAAGCUAUCUACCCCCUUAUCCAUGGACUCCGUAUGAGCCUCAGUAGGUUUUUUUCAAGUGAUAUCUGUAUGGGGCAUGUAACGCCUACUUUUCUGGUCAUGCGGUGUCGAGAGAGAUAGCUUUCUGGACUUGUGAUUGAACUGUUGGCUGUCAUGUCCUGAUAAACUGUUCAUGUGGUGCCUGAAAUGCACAGCUCCAGCAUCCUCAUGUCGAUUUAAUGGUCUUGAGUAGUAUUCUAGUCAUGGAUUUCUUCAGAGCAGGCUCUUGGAUAGAUCUGACUUAUUAAAAGCAUCACACUCAUGCCCGCAAAGGACUUCAGUGAGAUAACAAUGCUGACAACUUUAAGACUCGGCUAUCUUAUUUUUAACUUCACUAUACUGUAUAUCAAUUAUGUUAUGUUACAAAUGGCUCAGAUUAUCCUUUUCAUGGCCUCUGUCGCUUUGGACAGCCUACAUAUUACUGCAAAAAGACACAGGUACAGUGCAGCAAAUUUCUGCAAAUGUCCAAAGAUGCAGCAGAGGAUGACGAUGCUAAUCUGAGCCACAGAUUAUGUGAUUAUAUGAGUAAACAGAACACUAAUAACAGGCCAAGGUAUAUGUUUACUCCAUGUUUACAUUCCAGUGAUGCAUGAAGUGAGUUGGAAAAUGCACUUCACGAGUUCAGCCUGGUGUAUUUUCACAUACCAAGCAUCCACUAGGAGGUACAGAGCCUGUCAUAUGGACACAUCUACCAAGUGGUCUCAAGAUCAUGUUAAUGUCCCUGCCAGGCUUAAUUAUUAUUGAAUUGAUGCAGCCAGCUGUAGGCUACAUUGCAUAUAUUUGUCUUGUACAAUUUAUAUUUAAUUCUGAUGAUUCCCCAGACAUUUUCUAAUAUUUUAUGAACCUUUUGCAUCCCAUGCUUACUCUACUUUUUUACUGUCACUCAUAUGUGUGAAUGGUCUGAAGUGCAGCAUCCGUCGGAUCAUUGACAGUCCAAAUAAAGAGGUUCAGUUCUUUUGCAACUUCA